rnacentral:rRNA from 1 species
GACGAACGCUGGCGGCGCGCCUAACACAUGCAAGUCGAACGAGAGAUGAAGAGCUUGCUCUUCAAAUCGAGUGGCGAACGGGUGAGUAACGCGUGAGGAACCUGCCUCAAAGAGGGGGACAACAGUUGGAAACGACUGCUAAUACCGCAUAAGCCCACGGCUCGGCAUCGAGCAGAGGGAAAAGGAGUGAUCCGCUUUGAGAUGGCCUCGCGUCCGAUUAGCUAGUUGGUGAGGUAACGGCCCACCAAGGCGACGAUCGGUAGCCGGACUGAGAGGUUGAACGGCCACAUUGGGACUGAGACACGGCCCAGACUCCUACGGGAGGCAGCAGUGGGGAAUAUUGCACAAUGGGGGAAACCCUGAUGCAGCGACGCCGCGUGGAGGAAGAAGGUCUUCGGGAUUGGUAAACUCCUGUUGUUGAGGAAGAUAAUGACGGUACUCAACAAGGAAGUGACGGCUAACUACGUG